UCGAUUUUUAUGCCCCACCUACGAUAAUAGAGGGGCAUUAUGUUUUCUGGUCUGUGCCUCCGUUCGUUCGUCCGUUCGUCCGUGCGUCCGUUCGCUUCAGGUUAAAGUUUUUGGUCAAGGUAGUUUUUGAAGAAGUUGAAGUCCAAUCAACUUGAAACUUAGUACACAUGUUCCCCAUGAUAUGAUCUUUUUAAUUUUAAUGCCAAAUUAUAGUUUUAACCCCAAUUUCAUGGUCCACCGAACAUAGAAAAUGAUAGUGCGAAGUUCAGGUUAAAGUUUUUG
rnacentral:lncRNA from 1 species